rnacentral:rRNA from 1 species
AACCUAUGGCAAACCAUCCUGAGUGUGCCCGAACUCUUCUGAUCUCAGAAGCUGAGCAGGGUGGGGCCUGGUUAGUACUUGGAAGGGAGUCCAAAUACAAAAAUGACAUCUUGUGUGG